rnacentral:rRNA from 1 species
GACAGAGGCCUCAAGCGUUAGGCGGAAUCACUGGGCUUAAAGCGUGUGUAGGCGGAUCGUUAAGUACCUUGUGAAAUCCCACGGCUCACCCGUGGAACUGCUGGGUAUACUGGCGAUCUUGGGCCAACUAGGGGCAGCUGGAACAAGCGGUGGAGCGGUGAAAUGCGUAGAUAUCGCUUGGAACGCCAAAGGUGAAAACAGGCUGCUGGGGUUGUGCCGACGCUGAGACACGAAGGCCAGGGGAGCAAACGGG